UAGGAACGGCCCCUAAACAAUAACAUACAGAAGGCCUUGGAAAAGUUAACAAAAGUGAUGAAAAAAUAUAGAAAAAUUGAAAAGCGAAAUGAAGAGCUCAGCAAACGCAAACCUUUGCUUAAAAAUCUCUUCAACAUUAAUUUAAUGCCUGUACAGGAGAAACCAUUUACAGAAAUCGAAGGUUUACCAAACAACGAUCCCCUUCCAACAUUCUCGAUUGAGGCCGUCGACAGUGGUUGUUUGUUUACUAAAUUUUUAGUGUGCACACUAUGGCCUGCAGGAUUAGUAGGUGGCAGCGUCACCGGAAGAAAGUCCAAUAUCCCAGCUGGAAGCUCAAAAUCAGGGAUAUCCGAACCAUAUGUUAUGCAAACUCCAUUACAAAAGGAGAAGAUCGUCUUUUCGAAACAAGAAUGCAUAUGGGAGAUGGACCAGCAGUUUUUUCCAGAAAAGCUCAAGGUGAAAGUUCACUAAUGACACGAGUAAUUGCGAACACGCUGCCAGAUGCGAUUCGGUAAAAAUAUACAGACAUCCAAUGAAUAUUUAUUGUUUUUUUUUUAAGAUUCAUUUAAAGAUUACACGAAAAUACAAAUCAAAACAAAUCUAAA